rnacentral:rRNA from 1 species
UACGUAGGGAGCAAGCGUUGUCCGGAAUCAUUGGGCGUAAAGCGCGCGUAGGUGGCCUCGUAAGUCCGCUGUGAAAGUCAAAGGCUCAACCUUUGAAAGCCGGUGGAUACUGUGAGGCUAGAGUACGGAAGAGGCGAGUGGAAUUCCUGGUGUAGCGGUGAAAUGCGCAGAUAUCAGGAGGAACACCGGUGGCGAAGGCGGGUCUCUGGGCCGAUACUGACGCUGAGGAGCGAAAGCGUGGGGAGCGAACAGG